UAGUUUUAUAUUAAUAUUGUAAUAUUAUACUUUUACAGUUCGCUAAUUUAUAUUAUUAUUGUAAUUCGUACUGGCGCUAAUCGCCAUAAUAUAUUAUAUUGCCUUACCUUUCUUUCUAUGUACACGUAUGCAAAUCGCCGCGUCGUUAUUCAAUUAUUAUUAUAUUUCAUUCCGUGUUAAAAUUUGUUGCCAUAUAUUUAUUUAUUUGUUUUAUUGUAAUUAUAUUAAUAAUUGUCGUUUGUGGACCUUAUGAGUGUGUAGGUAGGUAGCAGCUGGCCAGCAGUUUUCUGUCAAUCUAUGGUAUGUUAAUGAUGGUGAUGGCCGUUGAACAAGUAGCUACCCGCUGCCAAACCUCCGUGGACGCCGACAACGACGACGACGAAGUCUAAUGUCAAAAAAAGUACAUAGCGACGGAGUCCUGGUAUCGCGGUCUUAAUUUCAAUACCAUACACAGCACAGUAAAUCGGCCAAACAAGCGUCUACUUCGCAAAGGUCCCCCACACAGCCACACUGCAACGGUGCCGAUAUAGCAUUAAAAUGGGACACAAUUUUACCGCCACUGUUGCACGUAAAAUUUCUUCGAUUGACUUAUUACAAAUGACUUUCUGGUUCAUUCCAAUGUAAGUACGUAUUAAAACAAUUUAAUAAAAAAAAAAAACUAAAAAAUAUAUUUCAGCAUGCCUUACACGAGUUUAUAACUUUUAACAUUUUAGCGGCUUCCGUAAUCUAUAAUACGGAUCUAUCAGUAAAUUUAUGA